rnacentral:rRNA from 1 species
AUUGAACGCUGGCGGCAUGCCUUACACAUGCAAGUCGAACGGCAGCACGGGUGCUUGCACCUGGUGGCGAGUGGCGAACGGGUGAGUAAUACAUCGGAACAUGUCCUGUAGUGGGGGAUAGCCCGGCGAAAGCCGGAUUAAUACCGCAUACGAUCUACGGAUGAAAGCGGGGGACCUUCGGGCCUCGCGCUAUAGGGUUGGCCGAUGGCUGAUUAGCUAGUUGGUGGGGUAAAGGCCUACCAAGGCGACGAUCAGUAGCUGGUCUGAGAGGACGACCAGCCACACUGGGACUGAGACACGGCCCAGACUCCUACGGGAAGCAGCAGUGGGGAAUUUUGGACAAUGGGCGAAAGCCUGAUCCAGCAAUGCCGCGUGUGUGAAAAAGGCCUUCGGGUUGUAAAGCACUUUUGUCCGGAAAGAAAUCCUUGGCCCUAAUACGGUCGGGGGAUGACGGUACCGGAAGAAUAAGCACCGGCUAACUACGUG